AAAUCAUCGGCACAACUAUGGACAGUAUCUGACUACACCGUCCCGUACACAUUCGAACAGUCACUUUGCCAGUUUUCAUUCCGCAAUCUUGAACAUUUCAAUUGUGGGAGAAAAUUCGGUUUAUGCGCAUGCCUAAAAAGAAUGAACGCGGAGAUGUGUUUCUGUCCGUACGUAUACAGUAUAUGAAAAGUAUUCAUCACACGUGCAAUCAUAAGACAAUCAAACAGCAUUCAAAAGAGACCAACACACCACGCGUGAUUCCCUUGGCUACCAUGUAAUUACAAAGGAGGGAAAUUAGUGAUUAAAUGACCCCGCAAAUCGAGGGAGGUUUAGUACAUAGAAUAAAGAUCCAUAUAGAAGGGCCUCGCGCAUGUCGCAUUACAAAUGUUGGCCGCCAUUUUCUUAGCCAGUCAAUGACAUUUUCUGGCCAAUAAACACGCUG